UACCGCCUACGGGACGCAGCAGUCGAGAAUCAUUCACAAUGGGGGAAACCCUGAUGGUGCGACGCCGCGUGGGGGAAUGAAGGUCUUCGGAUUGUAAACCCCUGUCAUGUGGGAGCAAAUUAAAAAGAUAGUACCACAAGAGGAAGAGACGGCUAACUCUGUGCCAGCAGCCGCGGUAAUACAGAGGUCUCAAGCGUUGUUCGGAAUCACUAGGCGUAAAGCGUGCGUAGGCUGUUUCGUAAGUCGUGUGUGAAAGGCGCGGGCUCAACUCGCGGACGGCACAUGAUACUGCGAGACCAGAGUCA
rnacentral:rRNA from 1 species